rnacentral:lncRNA from 1 species
AUGGUCAUUAUCCAGGUUGUCUCAGCUGCCAAGAGGCAUUUUCACACAAAACCAGUGUGGGGAUGUAACGGUUUGAAGUGCACGCCAAAGAGCAAGAUCUUUCUAAGUAAAACUUGGAUGCUGAAGGCUCUGUUGGGCAGCUGGGGAUUAUGGGCAUUGAGGGCUUGGCCUGGGAGUCAACUGUUAGUCAUUUCCCUGUGGUCUUCUGCAAUCAGUAUAUCACUCGUUCUCUCUGUUGUCAUGUAUUUUCCAGAAUCUUGCUUUGGGAGGAAAGGAUCUUGCUGCAGGAGUCUGAGGAUAUGUUUGUCCUCUGUGAGCUUGGCUAGAAUAAUCCCAUGGUGGCCACACAACAGAGUGCACCCUGCCACUGAGCCAGACGAAGAUACUGUGGAACCUGACUCAGUACAUUCAGCAACCCCCGACGAUGUUGUGGAGGCCGGUGGGAGUGAGAAGACCAAGGAGGAGGCCCUGGCUGGGGAAACUGAGGAGGAGAUGGGGCUGGGGACUGUGAAGGCGGAGGAGGAGGAGGAAAAGGAGGAAGCUGCAGCCAUAGACAAGGCGGAGGAGGAGGCGGCCCAGCCCAUGAAAAUGACAAGGAGGAGUCGCCAGCCAGCGACCGGGCUGAGCACGAAGACAAGCCUGCCCCAAGGUAAGCUCACCUUUCUUGAUGUGAGAUUUGAAAAGUUGCCUUUUUUCUUUUUUGAUAUCCCUAUCUCAGAAAUGGAAAUCUGAGAAAGUCCGUUAUAGAGGGUAUAUGCAGAUUCCUCUGCGGAGGAAUGUUGAGUCAAAGUUUGGUACCAACCAAUAACUCCUUCCAAGGGGCACUGGCCAAAGUGACCGCAUCAGUUCCCAAGUGUACGGCAGGGAGCAUUUUUCUUUGAAGAAGCCUGAAUGUUGUUUUGUUUUGUUUUGUUUUGUUUGUCUUUUUGCCUUUUCUAGGGCCACUCCCGUGGCAUAUGGAGUUUCCCAGGCCAGGGGUCUCAUCGGUGCUGUAGACACCGGCCUACGCCAGAGACGCAGCAGCGUGGGAUCCGAGCCAUGUCGGCAGCCUACACCACAGCUCAUGGCAAUGCCGGAUCCUUAACCUACUGAGCAAGGCCAGGGAUGCAAACCGCAACCGCAUGGUUCCUGGUGGGAUUGGUUAACCACUGUGCCACGACGGGAACUCCAAAAAAGCCUCAAUGUUUUUUAAAUGAACACGGCCUUGGGAGAUCUUCCAUGAGAAGCUGGCGCCUUUGCAAAGGGGUCUUCGCUGUCUUCUCUUGGGGAAACUGACUCAACUCUGCCUUCUGUCUGCGUGCCUGCGGUCCCAACGGCAGGAAGACCUGUGGCCGCAGUGCAGAGGAUGCUGUGACGCUCACAGUGUUUUCUUUUCUCUCAUCACAGGUGGACGGGACGGACGAUGAAAGCUGUGAGUAUUCUGGAACCCUGCUCUGCUGAGGAGAAGUCCAGGUGUUGAGGAAGGGAGGGGGCUUUCCUGCUCCUUUGGUUGCAGAGACACCCUGAUUCUGGGUUCCUCCUGGGAAUGAGGGUGAAGGAUGAGGUGAAAGAGACAGACUUCCCACUGAAGGGCCACCCCAGGUUCUAGGGUCCCUGGACAAAAGGAGGCUCUUUGUAUGGUGUGGGUAGGUGUCCAGGACCAUUGGGCGGGGUGUGUGUGUGUGGGGGGGGCUGUUGGUGUGAUUGGGAAUCAGUGUGAGUGGGUGUGUUUUGUGGGGAGCCGUUUGUGGCU